rnacentral:rRNA from 1 species
CUCGUAGGCGGUUUGUCGCGUCUGCUGUGAAAACCCGAGGCUCAACCUCGGGCCUGCAGUGGGUACGGGCAGACUAGAGUGCGGGUAGGGGAGAUUGGAAUUCCUGGUGUAGCGGUGGAAUGCGCAGAUAUCAGGAGGAACACCGAUGGCGAAGGCAGAUCUCUGGGCCGUAACUGACGCUGAGGAGCGAAAGCAUGGGGAGCGAACA